UACGGAGGGGGCUAGCGUUGUUCGGAAUUACUGGGCGUAAAGCGCGCGUAGGCGGCUUUGUAAGUUAGAGGUGAAAGCCCGGAGCUCAACUUCGGAAUUGCCUUUAAGACUGCAUCGCUUGAAUCAUGGAGAGGUCAGUGGAAUUCCGAGUGUAGAGGUGAAAUUCGUAGAUAUUCGGAAGAACACCAGUGGCGAAGGCGGCUCACUGGACUGGUAUUGACGCUGAGGUGCGAAAGCGUGGGGAUCAAACAGG
rnacentral:rRNA from 1 species